UUCCGGUUGAUCCUGCCGGAGGCUACCGCUAUUGGAGUUCGAUUAAGCCAUGCGAGUCCAGAGCUUUCGGAGCUCGGCGUACCGCUCAGUAACACGUGGGUAACCUAACCUAUGCAGGGGAAUAACCUCGGGAAACUGAGUAUAAUGCCCCAUAGUCCACUACGCCUGGAACGGUGAGUGGAUCAAAGCUCAGGCGGCAUAGGAUGGGCCUGCGGCGUAUCAGGUUGUAGGGGGUGUAAAGUACCCUCUAGCCAUCUACGCGUACGGGUGUUGGGAGACAUAGCCCGGAGAUGGAUUCUGAGACACGAAUCCAGACCCUACGGGGUGCAGCAGGCGCGAAAACUUGACAAUGCGAGCAAUCGUGAUCAGGGAACUCCAAGUGGCUGGGGUAAGACCCAGUCUUUUCAUAACUCUUCAAAGGUUGUAGAAUAAGGGGUGGGUAAGGACGGUGCCAGCCGCCGCGGUAAUACCGGCGCCUCAAGUGGUAGUCGCUUUUAUUGGGCCUAAAACGUCCGUAGCCGGUUUGGUACAUUCGUGGGUAAAUCAACUCGCUCAACGAGUUGAAUUCUGCGAGGACGGCCAAACUUGGGACCGGGAGAGGUGUGGGGUACUCUCAGGGUAGGGGUAAAAUCCUGUCAUCCUGAGAGGACCACCUGUUGCGAAGGCGCCACACUAGAACGGAUCCGACGGUCAGGGACGAAGCCUAGGGGCACGAACCGGAUUAGAUACCCGGGUAGUCCUAGGUGUAAACGCUGUGGACUUGAUGUUGGAGGAGCUCCGAGCUUCUUCAGUGUCGAAGCGAAGGUGAUAAGUCCACUGCCUGGGAAGUACGGUCGCAAGGCUGAAACUUAAAGGAAUUGGCGGGGGAGCACCGCAACCUGAGGAUUGUGCGGUUUAAUUGGAUUCAACGCCGGA
rnacentral:rRNA from 1 species